rnacentral:rRNA from 1 species
UACGUAGGGUGCAAGCGUUGUCCGGAAUUAUUGGGCGUAAAGAGCUCGUAGGCGGUUUGUCGCGUCUGCUGUGAAAACCCGAGGCUCAACCUCGGGCCUGCAGUGGGUACGGGCAGACUAGAGUGCGGUAGGGGAGAUUGGAAUUCCUGGUGUAGCGGUGGAAUGCGCAGAUAUCGGGAGGAACACCAGUAGCGAAGGCGGCACUCUGGGCCGUGACUGACGCUGAGGAGCGAAAGCGUGGGUAGCAAACAGG